rnacentral:rRNA from 1 species
UACGUAGGGGGCAAGCGUUGUCCGGAUUUAUUGGGCGUAAAGAGCGUGUAGGCGGCUUUACAGGUCAGCUGUGAAAACUCGAGGCUCAACCUCGAGACGUCGGUUGAAACCGUAUGGCUAGAGUCCGGAAGAGGAGAGUGGAAUUCCCGGUGUAGCGGUGAAAUGCGCAGAUAUCGGGAAGAACACCUAUGGCGAAGGCAGCUCUCUGGGACGGUACUGACGCUGAGACGCGAAAAGCGUGGGGAGCGAACAGG